GCCGGAGUGGUGGAAUGGUAGACGCAGGGGACUCAAAAUCCCCCGGGGGCAACCCUGUGCCGGUUCGAGUCCGGCCUCCGGUACCA
rnacentral:tRNA from 1 species